rnacentral:rRNA from 1 species
GAUGAACGCUAGCUACAGGCUUAACACAUGCAAGUCGAGGGGAAACGGCAUUAAGUGCUUGCACUUUUUGGACGUCGACCGGCGCACGGGUGAGUAACGCGUAUCCAACCUUCCCAUGACUAAGGGAUAACCUGCCGAAAGGCAGACUAAUACCUUAUGGUCUUCACUGACGGCAUCAGAUGUGAAGUAAAGAUUUAUCGGUUAUGGAUGGGGAUGCGUCUGAUUAGCUUGUUGGCGGGGUAACGGCCCACCAAGGCAACGAUCAGUAGGGGUUCUGAGAGGAAGGUCCCCCACAUUGGAACUGAGACACGGUCCAAACUCCUACGGGAGGCAGCAGUGAGGAAUAUUGGUCAAUGGGCGAGAGCCUGAACCAGCCAAGUAGCGUGCAGGAUGACGGUCCUAUGGGUUGUAAACUGCUUUUGUAUGGGGAUAAAGUCAAUCACGUGUGAUUGUUUGCAGGUACCAUACGAAUAAGGACCGGCUAAUUCCGUGCCAGCAGCCGCGGUAAUACGGAAGGUCCGGGCGUUAUCCGGAUUUAUUGGGUUUAAAGGGAGCGUAGGCUGGAGAUUAAGUGUGUUGUGAAAUGUAGGCGCUCAACGUCUGACUUGCAGCGCAUACUGGUUUCCUUGAGUACGCACAACGUUGGCGGAAUUCGUCGUGUAGCGGUGAAAUGCUUAGAUAUGACGAAGAACUCCGAUUGCGAAGGCAGCUGACGGGAGCGCAACUGACGCUGAAGCUCGAAGGUGCGGGUAUCGAACAGG